AACCAGCACCUCAAGUGGUCAGGAUGAUUAUUGGGCCUAAAGCAUCCGUAGCCGGCUCUGUAAGUUUUCGGUUAAAUCUGUACGCUCAACGUACAGGCUGCCGGGAAUACUGCAGAGCUAGGGAGUGGGAGAGGUAGACGGUACUCGGUAGGAAGGGGUAAAAUCCUUUGAUCUAUCGAUGACCACCUGUGGCGAAGGCGGUCUACCAGAACGCGUCCGACGGUGAGGGAUGAAAGCUGGGGGAGCAAACCGG
rnacentral:rRNA from 1 species